GGAACACCUUGUUCAAGUACUUGAUGAUCCUGAGUUUAAGAAAAUGUUCUAUACUUCCUUGAAAGUUGCCUCAAAGGCUUGGGAUGCAUUUAAAUCUGGAUGCCAGAGCGUCAUGGGCAUGUUUAGUCUCCAGUCAAAGGAUGCUUACAAGUUCCUGGAGAUAAGCCCAUCCUCUCUCAGCCCAGAAGAGUGGAAAAAAGAGUAUGAUGCUGUCAAAGAGCAGCUGGAGAAAUUUUAUCCUGCCCUCCAGGAGAAGCAAGACCGUGAGGAACAAAUGGCCAUCGAGUGACCUAACUAUUCAGACAAGAAGUUGGCCAUUUCUUGACAACCACUGUCACCAAGUCAAAAACAUACAUAGGGGGUGGGACUGAUUCUUAUCUUAGUGGCAUGUACGUUUUCUGUGCCUUUUCAAUAAUUCAGUACUGUCAGGUAGAUUUCUAUUAUUGUGUUGAUCAUAGGGACAUACUGUACUUUGUUCUUCAGAGCUCAUGUCAUCUAACAGUAUAUUUGCAUAAUUUUGUUGAUAGCAGAACAUUUUGAUCUAUUCAAAUAGAUACACUUCUGGUCUGCCAGCUCUUAAAGACCUCUCUGUUGUUCAGAGUUUGUAUGUACAUGAGCUUAGAAACAUGUAGAUGAUACAAUAUUGAUAAAUAAUCUUGUAUAUUCCCAGUGUUUUUAAAACAGUAAAAUGGUAUUGGUGACCUGGGAUGUUUAAAGUGAUAUAUCAAUGUAACUACUGAACCUCUGUUCUUUGCUACUUAUCUACUUUAAUUUGUCCCCCAAGAAAAAUGUAAUCAAAUUAAAUCAAAGUUUGCUACAA